GACAGAGGGUGCAAACGUUGUUCGGAAUUACUGGGCGUAAAGCGCGUGUAGGCGGCCAUCUAAGUCGGGCGUGAAAUCCCACGGCUCAACCGUGGAAGUGCACUCGAAACUGGAUGGCUAGAGUCCUGGAGAGGAAGGUGGAAUGCUUGGUGUAGAGGUGAAAUUCGUAGAUAUCAAGCGGAACACCGGUGGCGAAGGCGGCCUUCUGGACAGUGACUGACGCUGAGACGCGAAAGCGUGG
rnacentral:rRNA from 1 species